GAUCUUCUACUGGCAUGCAUUCUACUUCAAUUAACAUAUUCUGAUAUUCUUUUUCUCCUAAAAUAUGUUCUAAUCCUAUAUUUAAAAUUAAAUCUUUCAUUUCUUUAUCUGAUAAAUCUAUGUAAUCCUAAAUAAUAAGUUUUAUAUCUAUGUCAUCUAUGAGUUUAUCAACUAUAUUAUCAAAAUUAUGUUCAAUCAU
rnacentral:lncRNA from 1 species